UAAGUUUAAUUCUAGCUAACUAAUUUAUUUAUUUUUUAUUUAUACAUGCAAAACUUUAUAUUCCCAUAAAAUACUUUAUUAUUUAUUUUUAAUAUAUACACACUAUACUUAUUUUAUGCCAGCAGUAAUUAAAUCUAGAUAAAUUAUUUAAGUAAGUUCUGAUUAAAAAUUUAAAGUUGGUAAAAUUCGUGCCAGCUACCGCGGUUAAACGAUAAACUUAAAUAAAUUUUUAUAGAAAAAUGAAAAUUUAUAUUUAUUUUGAUAUGUUUUAAUUAAAAAAUAGUUUAAUAUUAAUAAUAUUAUUAUACUAUAAAUAUCUUUUAAAUUUAAUCAUGAAAGUUAAAACAAAAACAAGGAUUAGAUACCCUUUUAUUCUUAACCAUAAAAAUCUAGGGAACUACAAAUACAUAUUUAAAACCCAAAGAAUUUGGCAGUAUUUUAUCUUACUAGGGGAAUCUGUUUUUUAAUUCGACAAUCCACGUAUAUCUUAUUAUAAUUAGAUUUUAAUCAACUUGUAUACUGCCGUCAUCAGUUUAUCAUAAAAAUGAUAAUAAACUUUAAAAAUUAUAAAUUUAUAUGUCAGGUCAAAGUACAGUCUAUAUUAUAAUUAAAAUGGAUUACAAUCUCUACUAAAGUUAUUAGAUAAAUUAUGAAAAUAAAUUUGAAAUAGGACUUAAAAGUAAUUCUAAAUAUUAAAUUAGUAUGAAUAUAGAUAUCUAAAAUAUGUACAUAUCGCCCGUCACUCUUUUCGAAAGAAAAGAAAAGUCGUAACAAAGUAGGCGUAAUGGAAAUUGUGCCU
rnacentral:ncRNA from 1 species